CCCCUUUGAUCCUGGCUCAGAGCGAACGCUGGCGGCGUGCUUAACACAUGCAAGUCGAACGCGAAAGUAUCCUUCGGGAUGCGAGUAGAGUGGCGCACGGGUGAGUAACACGUAGACAACCUGCCUUCCAGUCUGGGACAACCCUUUGAAAGAGGGGCUAAUACCGGAUAACACACUUCAUCGCAUGGUGAGGUGUUGAAAGGCUUGCUGCUGGAAGAGGGGUCUGCGGGACAUUANCUUGUUGGUGGGGUAACGGCUUACCAAGGCAUUGAUGUCUAGCGGGUCUGAGAGGAUGAUCCGCCACACUGGAACUGAGAUACGGUCCAGACUCCUACGGGAGGCAGCAGUGGGGAAUUUUGCGCAAUGGGCGAAAGCCUGACGCAGCAACGCCGCGUGAGUGAAGAAGCCCUUGGGUCGUAAAGCUCUUUUCUGAGGGAAGAGCAAAGACGGUACCUCANGAAUAAGCACCGGCUAACUCCGUGCCANCAGCCCGCGGUNAUACCGAGGGUGCAAACCGUUGUUCNGAUUUACUGGGCCUAAAANGGCCGUG
rnacentral:rRNA from 1 species